rnacentral:lncRNA from 1 species
UCUGGAACUUGCCAGGAAACUGUCCUCUACGGAGUGAGAGAAAGCCAUUCACAGAGUGGUGUCUCACUAGAGGCACUCUGCUACAAAAUCGCCAAAGGUGGGGACACUGCGGGAAGCUGCUGGCCUUGUGGUGCUGCUGGCUGCCGUGCACUGCAGGAACUGGGUCCUGGAGUAGCUGCCUGCAUGGUAGGAGGCUGCUGAGCGACCACAUCUGAAUCAGGAAGACAUCCCCCUUGGGAGGAUGAGGAAGAAGGUCACAUUCUCAGGAUGGUGGAGAGAAAAGCUAGAAGGAGACUGGGUACCUGAUGUCCGUGGUGCUGCCCUGUUAGCUCUGGACUGCCUUUCUUCAAAUUCCUCAUUAAGAAAAACAACCUCUGUCUUGACUGAGACGCUUUUAUUUGUUUUUUUGUUUGUUUGUUUUUUGGUUCCCUGCAGUUGAAUUUAAUUCCCAACUGAUAUAACUAUGUUUAGUGCAAAGGCUCAACUGGGUAUGAUUGUCAUGA